GGUCUCAUCGUAACAGUAUACUGCGCCGCUCGACCGCGGCGCUCUACCUCCCCUCUCUUCUCUCUCCUUUUGCUUUUUUCUCACACUGGUUUAUAUAUAACCUCCCUUGGUUAAUAAGUUCCUUGCCCACUUUCUUCCCAACUUGCAAAAUAGGUUUCUAUCUCUGAUAUUUUUCGUGUUGUGAUUGCCCGCACAGUGGAGGUCUGGUCUUCUGAUAAAUUCUUCAGCUUCUUCCUGUUCUCUUCUCAUGUUGUCUGGCGUUUGGAAUUCCAUGUUGCUUGGGUUGUUGGAUGUCUAAUGGUUGCUUUGUUUAUGGAAUUCCAUUUUGCGAUCUCUCGGUUUUCCUCCUUAUACUCUUAUAUUUUUUUCGGAUUUUUUCCUAUUUGCUGUUGGACAGUCUCAUCUUUGAUGCUAAUUUGCUUUGUAAGUUUGUAGGUUUCAAUUUAACAAUUUAUUUCUCUUUUAGGUUCUUUGAUUCGUUUCGGGAAUUGAGU
rnacentral:lncRNA from 1 species